rnacentral:tRNA from 1 species
GUGUACGUAAUUUAAAAAAAAUAUCAAGUUGUGACCUUGAAGAUAGAUCACCUCGCACACC